GAUGAACGCUGGCGGCGUGCCUAAUACAUGCAAGUCGAGCGAAUGGAUUAAGAGCUUGCUCUUAUGAAGUUAGCGGCGGACGGGUGAGUAACACGUGAGUAACCUGCCCAUAAGACUGGGAUAACUCCGGGAAACCGGGGCUAAUACCGGCUAACAUUUUGAACCGCAUGGUUCGAAAUUGAAAGGCGGCUUCGGCUGUCACUUAUGGAUGGGCCCGCGUCGCAUUAGCUAGUUGGUGAGGUAACGGCUCACCAAGGCAACGAUGCGUAGCCGACCUGAGAGGGUGAUCGGCCACACUGGGACUGAGACACGGCCCAGACUCCUACGGGAGGCAGCAGUAGGGAAUCUUCCGCAAUGGACGAAAGUCUGACGGAGCAACGCCGCGUGAGUGAUGAAGGCUUUCGAGUCGUAAAACUCUGUUGUUAGGGAAGAACAAGUGCUAGUUGAAUAAGCUGGCACCUUGACGGUACCUAACCAGAAAGCCACGGCUAACUACGUGCCAGCAGCCGCCGUAA
rnacentral:rRNA from 1 species